UACGUAGGGUGCAAGCGUUACUCGGAAUUACUGGGCGUAAAGCGUGCGCAGGCGGUUAUGUAAGACAGAUGUGAAAUCCCCGGGCUUAACCUGGGAACCGCAUUUGUGACUGCAUAGCUGGAGUACGGCAGAGGGGGAUGGAAUUCCGCGUGUAGCAGUGAAAUGCGUAGAUAUGCGGAGGAACACCGAUGGCGAAGGCAGUCCCCUGGGCCUGUACUGACGCUCAUGCACGAAAGCGUGGGGAGCAAACAGG
rnacentral:rRNA from 1 species